ACACAUGCAAGUCGAGCGGUAGCACAGAGAGCUUGCUCUCGGGUGACGAGCGGCGGACGGGUGAGUAAUGUCUGGGAAACUGCCUGAUGGAGGGGGAUAACUACUGGAAACGGUAGCUAAUACCGCAUAACGUCGCAAGACCAAAGUGGGGGACCUUCGGGCCUCAUGCCAUCAGAUGUGCCCAGAUGGGAUUAGCUAGUAGGUGGGGUAACGGCUCACCUAGGCGACGAUCCCUAGCUGGUCUGAGAGGAUGACCAGCCACACUGGAACUGAGACACGGUCCAGACUCCUACGGGAGGCAGCAGUGGGGAAUAUUGCACAAUGGGCGCAAGCCUGAUGCAGCCAUGCCGCGUGUGUGAAGAAGGCCUUCGGGUUGUAAAGCACUUUCAGCGGGGAGGAAGGCGGUAAGGUUAAUAACCUUGUCGAUUGACGUUACCCGCAGAAGAAGCACCGGCUAACUCCGUGCCAGCAGCCGCGGUAAUACGGAGGGUGCAAGCGUUAAUCGGAAUUACUGGGCGUAAAGCGCACGCAGGCGGUCUGUCAAGUCGGAUGUGAAAUCCCCGGGCUCAACCUGGGAACUGCAUUCGAAACUGGCAGGCUAGAGUCUUGUAGAGGGGGGUAGAAUUCCAGGUGUAGCGGUGAAAUGCGUAGAGAUCUGGAGGAAUACCGGUGGCGAAGGCGGCCCCCUGGACAAAGACUGACGCUCAGGUGCGAAAGCGUGGGGAGCAAACAGGAUUAGAUACCCUGGUAGUCCACGCCGUAAACGAUGUCGAUUUGGAGGUUGUGCCCUUGAGGCGUGGCUUCCGGAGCUAACGCGUUAAAUCGACCGCCUGGGGAGUACGGCCGCAAGGUUAAAACUCAAAUGAAUUGACGGGGGCCCGCACAAGCGGUGGAGCAUGUGGUUUAAUUCGAUGCAACGCGAAGAACCUUACCUGGUCUUGACAUCCACAGAACUUAGCAGAGAUGCUUUGGUGCCUUCGGGAACUGUGAGACAGGUGCUGCAUGGCUGUCGUCAGCUCGUGUUGUGAAAUGUUGGGUUAAGUCCCGCAACGAGCGCAACCCUUAUCCUUUGUUGCCAGCGGUCCGGCCGGGAACUCAAAGGAGACUGCCAGUGAUAAACUGGAGGAAGGUGGGGAUGACGUCAAGUCAUCAUGGCCCUUACGACCAGGGCUACACACGUGCUACAAUGGCAUAUACAAAGAGAAGCGACCUCGCGAGAGCAAGCGGACCUCAUAAAGUAUGUCGUAGUCCGGAUUGGAGUCUGCAACUCGACUCCAUGAAGUCGGAAUCGCUAGUAAUCGUAGAUCAGAAUGCUACGGUGAAUACGUUCCCGGGCCUUGUACACACCGCCCGUCACACCAUGGGAGUGGGUUGCAAAAGAAGUAGGUAGCUUAACCU
rnacentral:rRNA from 1 species